GAUUGAACGUGCUUGCACGGACUUGACGUUGGUUUACCAGCGAGUGGCGGACGGGUGAGUAACACGUAGGUAACCUGCCCCAAAGCGGGGGAUAACAUUUGGAAACAGAUGCUAAUACCGCAUAACAAUUUGAAUCGCAUGAUUCAAAUUUAAAAGAUGGCUUCGGCUAUCACUUUGGGAUGGACCUGCGGCGCAUUAGCUUGUUGGUAGGGUAACGGCCUACCAAGGCUGUGAUGCGUAGCCGAGUUGAGAGACUGAUCGGCCACAAUGGAACUGAGACACGGUCCAUACUCCUACGGGAGGCAGCAGUAGGGAAUCUUCCACAAUGGGCGCAAGCCUGAUGGAGCAACACCGCGUGAGUGAAGAAGGGUUUCGGCUCGUAAAGCUCUGUUGUUAGAGAAGAACGUGCGUGAGAGCAACUGUUCACGCAGUGACGGUAUCUAACCAGAAAGUCACGGCUAACUACGUGCCAGCAGCCGCGGUAAUACGUAGGUGGCAAGCGUUAUCCGGAUUUAUUGGGCGUAAAGCGAGCGCAGGCGGUUUGAUAAGUCUGAUGUGAAAGCCUUUGGCUUAACCAAAGAAGUGCAUCGGAAACUGUCAGACUUGAGUGCAGAAGAGGACAGUGGAA
rnacentral:rRNA from 1 species